rnacentral:rRNA from 1 species
GAUGAACGCUGGCGGCGUGCUUAACACAUGCAAGUCGAACGGGAAACAUUUUAUUGAAGCUUCGGCAGAUUUAGUUUGUUUCUAGUGGCGGACGGGUGAGUAACGCGUGGGUAACCUGCCUCACACUGGGGGAUAACAGUCAGAAAUGACUGCUAAUACCGCAUAAGACCACAGGAUCGCAUGAUCCGGUGGUAAAAACUCCGGUGGUAUGAGAUGGACCCGCGUCUGAUUAGCUAGUUGGUGGGGUAACGGCUCACCAAGGCGACGAUCAGUAGCCGACCUGAGAGGGUGACCGGCCACAUUGGGACUGAGACACGGCCCAA